CUGGUUUUUCCUAGGUUAUAAUUGUAGAACAAAGAUUAUUAUAAUAUUGGAAUAAAGAGUUAUGCUAUAAACUAAUGAUUAGUAAUAUAUAUAAUCAUAGCUAUAAUCUAUUUCUAGUAUAACUAUUCUUAUUCUAUGUAUUUUCUUUAUUAUACUGGAACAGCUUGUGCCCUCGGUCUCUUGCCUUGGCAGCUGGGUGGCUUGCCUCCCACAUGGCACUGCUGGGCAUUGUCUGUUAAUAUUGAAUAAUUGUUUUAAGAUUAUUUUCAAUAAGGCUUUACCUUUUUUAACUUGCACUGUGGCCAUGAGCUCUGCUGGAAGUGACUUGUUGGUGUUAUCUCCUCAGUUAUAAAGUGAAGGGAUUUUUCUUUUUCAGAUUACUGAGAGUCUUCCGUUACUAGGGCAGAGGACUGCUGUUUGCUGACACAAUCUUGGUGCGUUGGAAGUGAAAGGGAAGAGGCACUGGUGGCUGUGCUUUGGGCCCGAGC
rnacentral:lncRNA from 10 species